rnacentral:rRNA from 1 species
GAUUAACGCUGGCGGCGUGCAUAACACAUGCAAGUCGAACGAUGAAACUCAUUAGAUUUCUUCGGAAUGAAAAUGAAUGGAUUAGUGGCGAACGGGUGAGUAACGCGUGAGUAACCUGCCUUACACAAGGGGAUAGCCUCUGGAAACGGAGAAUAAUACCCUAUGAAACCAGACAAUCGCAUGAUAAUCUGGUCAAAAUGUUUAGUGGUGUAAGAUGGACUUGCGUCUGAUUAGCUAGUUGGUGAGAUAAAAGCUCACCAAGGCAACGAUCAGUAGCCGGCUUGAGAGAGUGUACGGCCACAUUGGGACUGAGACACGGCCCAGACUCCUACGGGAGGCAGCAGUGGGGAAUGUUGCACAAUGGGGGAAACCCUGAUGCAGCGACGCCGCGUGAUUUAGAAGGCCUUCGGGUUGUAAAAAUCUUUUGUAUAGGAAGAAAAUGACAGUACUAUACGAAUAAGGUCCGGCUAAUUACGUG